UGUUGGUCUGUGUUGUUGGUCUGUGUUGUUGGUCUGUGUUGUUGGUCUGUGAUGCCGAGGAGGCAGAGACCAGUUUAUAUAUCUGCAGAGAGGGAGGAGGACGCUCUGUGGUCACAUGGUUUGGAAAUUACAGACCACCGUAGACUUGCCUAAGAAACGAGCUUUAUGCUGUGUGACGGACAGCGAUUGGUUUUUGUUAUUCCUCGCUGCUGUCACCAAAUGCUCUUGGGGAGAAUCUAGUCUGGUCUAGACCUACUCUGUCUGUAAAGGGCCCUGAGAUAACUUCUCUUAGGAUUUGACAUACAUUUUAUUUAAUUAUGAAAUACAUCAAAGGUUUUCUGAAACAUCAGGUGUUACAGCUGCCACCUCGUGUGUGUAAUUAACUGAUUGUGUUUAUCUGAGAUGUAAAGCAGGCUGUGCCAACCCACGCGGCGGAUUGUUUGGCUGGGGGAAGUCCCGCCCAGUUCCUGGAGGUCCCUGAGAUGGGGACACUGAUUGAUGCAGCAUACCACCUCUGAGCCAAUGAAGUCGGCCUCCGGCUUAAAUAGCCUGAUUGAUGGCAGCCCAGGGCAGCUGUCAGACCUCAUUGAGAACUGAGAACUGUCGAGAUGUAUGAGAGUGGGAGGAAGUGGGCCAGGGGUUGAGCUUUGAAAACUGAUCUCGCUCUCGCAUGUAACAGGUUUGUCUUGUAUAGUCAGUUAUGUUCCUUUUUUUUCUACAGCAUCCAUCAAAAAACAAAUUCCUAAACUCAACCGUAGCUUUCUUCUCACGAUAACACGCCAAGUCGCGAUUACAUGCGUGUAUGUUUAUGUCCGCUGUAUGCAGCGUAACAUACACGCGGAUAACUCAAAAUGCGUCCAGAUAACACGCCACUUGGCUUAAGGAAAGUGCCCGUGUAUAUUUACGGGAAGUCCUGAUGCCAUGUUGUGCCUGACGUGCCGUGCAUUCAACUCAGUCAACAGAGUCAACUGAAGUGAAAAUGUAUGAAACAGCGGUAACACUUAACCCUAACCCUAACUCUAACCAUAACUUGUCAUGACAAAAACGAAUGACACUUAAAAAGUGUUAUGUCACAAACGUUUAUGACUUGUUUAUAAUGUUUUAUGACAUGUUCAUGACAGUGUCAUGUCACUCUUAUGUAGAAAACUUCAAGUUAAGUGUAACCAAAACAGCUCCUAAACAGAUGUAUGCUUCAACAUGUCUGUCCUCUUCAGAAGAAGAUGGAAGAACUUUAGAAAGAAAAGAUCAGUGGUUGGAGGAGACCUUUCAGCAUGUUGUCCAGCUGGAGGAGAUCACCCUGAAUGUUCAUUCACUGUCCUCUCACGGCCACUUGGACUUCCUGAUUAAGGAGAUGGAAGAAAAAGGAGACCCAGAGAAGGAGAGAAAACUGGAAGAGAUGAAAAAUUAAAUGGAUAAAGACAAAGGAAUUAAAGCAGGUUUGGUAAACUUGCAGCAGCAGUUAAAGAAUCAAAGAACUAGAUGAACUAGAAUCACUGAGAGCAGACAGCUGUGUAGAAAACAAGGUCUACACUGGUGAUCAAAUGUGUUUUAUUAUAGUUUUAUUUAGUGUAAUGUUGAUAAGAAAAUUAAAUGUAAUCACCUUUUAUAUGUUAAAUGUGUAAUUCCUAGAAACAGCUCCCUCUGUGAUGUAAUGACUGUUUCUGGUUGUUCUUGUAGUUUCAUGUUUAGUCACCAAAAUGUACUUUUAGGGAACAGUUUGGGACAACAGCUCUGGAUUUAAAUGCAGUGAGGACCCCCCCCUGCUGUUUACUGUUGAGUACAGCAGCUCCCUCUAUAUCACAGCUAUAUAUAGCUAGCUAACAAAAGGAGUCCUUAUUUAGUGAGUCUGUGUCAGCUAUUUCCUUCACUAAAACUAAAGGAUCUCCACCACCAAAGGGUCUUUUUAAAUCUUUUGUUGGAGCAAAAAUCUACUAGAGCAACUCUUGUGGUGGCAAAUUUUUAUUUUAACCAU